AUUGAACGCUAGCGGCAUGCUUUACACAUGCAAGUCGAACGAGUGGCGGACGGGUGAGUAAUAUAUCGGAACGUGCCUAGUAGCGGGGGAUAACUACUCGAAAGAGUGGCUAAUACCGCUCACUAUUGGAGCGGCCGAUGUCGGAUUAGCUAGUGGGUGGGGUAAAGGCUCACCAAGGCAACGAUCCGUAGCUGGUCUGAGAGGACGACCGGCCACACUGGGACUGAGACACGGCCCAGACUCCUACGGGAGGCAGCAGUAGGGAAUUUUGGACAAUGGGGGAAACCCUGAUCCAGCCAUCCCGCGUGUGUGAGAAGGCCUUCGGGUUGUAAAGUACUUUUGGCAGAGAAGCGGUAUCUACAGAAUAAGCACCGGCUAACUACGUGCCAGCAGCCGCGGUAAUUC
rnacentral:rRNA from 1 species